GCUGGGCGUGGUGGCUCACGCCUGUAAUCCCAGCACUUUGGGAGGCCGAGGCAGGUGGAUCACCUGAGGUCAGGAGUUCAAGACCAGCCUGGCCAACAUGGUGAAACCCCGUCUCUA
rnacentral:sRNA from 1 species